CAGUUACAUUUCACAGUUACAUUUCUGGAUAUGGGUCACUAAAGUGGGUGUCUGCAUUGCAUUAUCGGCAGAACUGACACUCCUUCCGCACGUGCCCUCACACACACUCACACACACACACACACACUACUCAACAGAAGAAGAUUGCUGCCGCUCUUCGCAGAUUUCAAACUGUUUUUCUUGAGGAAUUCAUUGAAUUUCUGAAAUACAAGUAGAAACUGUAAAAGUGCAGCAUUGCACACAAUUGUUCCAGAGAAAAGAAACAUUUUGGACAGGUUGAUUGAAUGUGACAGCUCCAGCUCAGAACUAGCCUGUAGGAAGAUUCCAGAUGACGCCAACACCCACGAAAAUCUGACCGUUCUGCUCUCCAGGCCGGCUUUGAUCGUCCUGGUACCCUGCUUCUGGAAUUCUCGUUGCUUGGAGGCCAGUCACUGUUGCCGAGGAUGGCCCCCUAUGGACAGCCUGGGGAUACUUUGAAGCCGUGGAGAAGGCAUUGGACUGCAAUUGAUGCGGGCAGUUUUGGUGCGGUAUCUUGGAACUGCGUUUGCGGUGACUGUUUUGGACUACAAUUGCACAAACAGACUUUGUGCCCGGGUCUCCAUCAGUGGACAGUUCAUAAUUCCAGUGGAAUAGACUUCAUGUUGAGAUUGUGGUGAUUUCCUGAUUACACAGUUGCACUAUUUGUUUUAUCAUAUAGCACACAGUUAUAGAAAGGAAUUAUUUAUAAUUACACUAUCCGGUGUCAUCCAGAUGAGGAUGGGUUCCCUUUUUAAGUCUGGUUCGUCUCCAUGUUAGAUAUUCCCAUUACCUUUUUGAAAGUUAACGAUAACAUAGCAUUACAGCUAUUCACCAUGAUGUAAUACAGAGAGUGGGUUAAGGUUAAUUACAUUUAGCAAGUGUUUUGGACAAGGCAAGCUGUAGUAAUUAGCAUUAGGAGGAUGGGUUAGGGCCAUGUUUCUUCGUGUGUUCGGUGAACGUUAAUGCUGGUGAACAGGUGCAGACAGUCAGUGGCUAAUGAAACUUGCUAGCUCAGUAAUGUCAAGGUCAAAAGUUCUUCACAAGGUUAACGUGACAACAAGAGAGGUUGGGGGUUACAAUAGGUUGAAAUGAUUUCCCCGAUCUCUGUAAUGUUGGUUGACUUAAUUAGGUUGUGCAAAAAAAUUGGUAGUGAGGUGCUAAAGGCUGGAAAAUAAAUAUUAUCUAGUUAGCUAGAUUUUCCUGGUGAGUCUACAGCACCAUUUUGUUCAUUAGGAGAGUGGAGGUCACAUUUCCAAAAUGACACAAUUUGGGACUCUGUAACGCAAUUUCUCAAUUAAAGCCCCAAGUCAUUUAUCCAUAUUUUGUAGCUAACAACUAACCAACACUCUUUUUGCUCUUUUACAGCUUUUCAAAUGGAAGGGAGUGGGACUCCUGUCUUCCCAGAUGGCAGGGAGAUUUGUAAGAUGCAUCAACUCCAAUUCUUAAAUCUGUCAAAUAUUUUAAUGAUUUUAAUAAAAUGUCACCUGAAUUUCAUGCAAUUGAUUAUUUUUUGAGCAUUUUAGUAGAAUUUUAGCACACAAACAAAUAGCAUUUUAGGAUAAUUGUAGGGGGAAAAGUAUAAACAACACAUCGGUGUUAUUUUCGUGUUAUUUUUUUAACACAUCUUUGUGUGGAAAUGUUUAACGCACAGCAUGUGUUAAAUGUACUAACACACUGUGUUAAAAGCAACACAAAAUGUGCUGUCCUUAACUAGACACACAGAUGUGUUAAAAAUGAACACAUGAUUGAGUGAAUGAUAUCAAUAUAUUUAUCCAUUACUGUACACUAGAAAAAGUAAAAAUGUGCGAUAACAGUCCAGUUUACAUGACAUUAAAUGCACCGCUAUUUCAUUAGCUUGGGCUUACCUGUUUGUAAUGCCCACUGGAUCGUAAGAUGGUUACUCAGUUUUUUUUUUUGGAUGCUUUAAACGUCUCCUUUGAUCAAAAUCGGAUGUUUUUGUCUUAAAUAUAUGACUUAUUUGAGUUCUUAACUUCAAAGUCUAUAUAUAAACACCACUUUAGCAGCUCUAGCAAUACAUUUCUGAACACGUCUUGUGUAUAAAUAAAGGAGAUAUCAAGUUGACAUAUUUGUUUAUAAUGUGGUAUAUUUAAUAAACCUGAAAAUAUUAACCCAUUUUUUAAAUAAAAUUAACCCAGCGUUUUUGUAAAAAUUAAACUAUGGGUUUAAAAAACAAAUCAUUUGAUGAGUUAAAAUUAACAACCCAAUGUGAUGGGUUAGUUUAGCCCAAAAUGUGUUCUGUCUUAUAUUUACCCAGCCGUUGGUUUGUGUUUAACCCAGUGUUUGUAUAUUUGUAAGCAAUUGUAAGUAUUUAUUAAAUCUAUCUGUGGUAAAUACCUAUUAAGGAGAACACUUUAUCUGACAACUUUAUCCCCUUUAUUAAUCAUUUGGAAAAAUAUUGAUAAAGGCUUUACAUUAGAGGAAUUAUAUUUGCUUGUCUAUGAUAAGGUUGAAACCUAUUAGGGCCAGUUUCCUGCACACAAAUGAAGUAUACUAUUUAAGAACAUAUUUCUUUGUGGAUAAUCCUGGUUCCCACUGUAUGAGAUCUCAGACGUACCUGUAUGCAGGAUUAACAGAUUUCCUUUGAGCCUUUUCAGCACUUCUGGCAAUAGAGCAUUGGAUUUCCCCCAACCCCACCUCCUUUUCAAAAAAACUGACUUAAACUUGACCCAAUGCAAAACUUAUUUUAUAGACAAAUAAAGAUGCUUUUAAAUAUUGUAAUCAUUUACCAAAUGUGUGAAAUUCGUUAAACCCAUGAUGCCUCUGUGUAAAAUAUGAUAUGUGCAAAACUUCUUAUGAAAGAAGUAAAUACUAAUGUGCCGUCUGAAAGAAAUUGUUUUUGAAGGGUUGGAGGAUGAAAAUGAAAAUAUGAAAAAGAGAAUUUUUAGUUACUUCAUGUUUAGGUGACAGUAUAUAAAACUAAUUGUCAGUUUAUGAGACACAUCCAGCUUUACCUACAUUUACUGGCCCAUUUAUUGCCAGAUAUUGACAUUUUCAAGAGUAAAAAUAAACCUGAAAAUAUUAACCAACUUAUGAAAUAAAAUUAACCCAGCAUAUAAUUUUAUUUUAUUGCCAGAUAUUGUUCGGGGAACUAUCUGGUCAGUUUUAGUCUUGUGGUGAUCCUGUGAAUGUAAAACAAUAUCAAAAUCUUUCAUAAAUAUAAACAUUUUUAAAAAAAAUCUAUAUUUAGCAAAUAUUUUUAUAACCUUGUUUUAUUUGCAAUUGUUUGAUAUCCAUGAGAGGAUUUUUUAAACAAAAGAUCAAAAAGUUAAACAAUAAAGACAAUUGUUCACAGCCUUCUUUGCUCAUAUUUACCAAGGGUGCCAAUAUUAGUGGAGGGAACUGUACACUGUACAUUUUUUUUUAAAACAGUGUGUUAACAUUUUAAGAGGAAAAAACUGUCAAAGAGAAACCUGUAAAUUGCAAAGUCCAAUGAGAGAAACCAGUGUGUCGAUCAACCGUAAGAAGAGGCAAAAAACAGCCAAUAUGUCACACCACAUUUGGAUCUGGUAAGAAGUCUGAUGAAAACUGCCCAGCUCUGAGGGGAAAACAUUAAGCUCUUCAAUAACUACUUUUACAUGGACAGCAAUAAUCUAAUUAUUGAUCAUAUUCUGAAUAAGAUAAUAUUCUGAUUAAGGUGUUUAAAUGAGUUGCUUUUAGAAUAUUCCUUUCAUGUUCCCGUUUUACAUGUUAUAGAACAUAGACCGAUUAAUGGCACACGUCAUUACUUCCCCAUGCCACGCCGUCCAACAAAACAAUUUCGCCAAUCCAAGUAGUUUUCCGCAAAAAAGCACAAAAGACUGCAAGUUGCAUCACAAAUUUUGAAAAAAGGCACAACAAUCACAAAAAGACUGCGAAAUCCUAUA